CAUUUUGCAAUUCCCUCUUUUUCUUUUUCCUUUUUCUUUGUUCCGCUUGGGCCUCUCCUCCUUCCCCUCCCUCUUCCUCUUCCUUGUUUGGUAUUAAUGUUGUAGUUAUUGUAGGGGGAGAAAGAGAAGGAGAAGAAGGACGGAAAGAAUUAGAAGAGGAA
rnacentral:ribozyme from 13 species